rnacentral:lncRNA from 1 species
AUAAAAUAAGAAAUAGAAAAUUAUAAUUUUGUGAUUUUGACUGUUUGAUUAGUUGAUUGUAAAUAUAAAAGUGAAAAAUAUAAAAAGACAACUUAUGCCUCUAAUUUAAAUUAAAUUUAUACUUAUAUUUGAAGUUUAAAAUUAAAUUUUAAAUUUUAAAUUUAAACUUAAAUCUGAAUUAAAUUUAUAAUUAAAAUUUAAGACAUAUAAUUAAAUUUUUAAUAUGAAUUAAAGAUUAAGUUAUAACUGGUAAUUGAAAUUAAAUUUAUAGUUCAGAUAAAUUUAAUUUAAAAUUUAAAAUAGAAUUUAAAUUUAAAAACUGAAAUUAAAUUAAUUUAAACUUUAAAACUAGAAUUUAAAAUGUAAAUAAAAAUUUAAAU